rnacentral:tRNA from 1 species
GCCCCCAUAGUUCAAUGGAUAAAAUAACUCCGUCCUAAGGAGGAGCUCCACGUUCGAAUCGUGGUGGGGGCACCA